CUAGACACAGCCUCCUAUUGAGCUCACUUGAGUGGAGACACUCAAGAGAGCAGGAUGCUCUGCUGUUGUCUCCCGACUUGUCGAGGCUGUGGCUUCAGGAAAGCCAAGAAACAGAGCCUUUUCAGUUGCUACACACAUUGGCUUGGCCCUCACCUGCACCGCCUCUGGCCAUUUGGCAGGAGGAGCCCUCAGGUAACACAGGGCAGGCCAACCGCCUUAGGCCACAAUGGGAUCCCAACCCCACACCCCUCUGAGCCUCCUUGUGUGUCCGGGGGGAGUGGAGUGAGGGAUGGCGGGGCUGAGGGGGGACCCAUCCUGGGCAGGAGCCCUUUGCCUGGUGUUGGAAGCCUGGCAGUGCGUCGUCUUCCCAGCCUAGGUGUUGGCUAGCAGGAUGGGAGAGUGGGUGCUGGGGACCAAGCUCCUCUACGUAUAUGUCAGUCCUGAGCCCUCCAGGUGUCAUCUCAUUCCCUCCCUGGCUGGAGUUCUACACAGACACUGCUGGAGCUGCACGCAGGAGGUGGUGGAAGAGCUGGCGGAUGGCUUCGGGUACUCCAUCUCCCUGGACAGGGACCAGCUGCACCGCACCAUCAUCAAUAACCAGGGCUGCUCUGAGAGGGAGGUCUGUUGUCCCUCAGCGAGCAAAUGGCCUCGAGGGAGAUCAAUGUGGAGUCCUUCGCAGGACCAAAUUCAGAUUGUACUUUGAGAGCCCAGAAACUUGCUGAGUGUGGGAGCUCCUGUGUCUCCUGUCGCACACGUCUGGGAGGGGCUAGGUGUUCCUGGGUCAGCUGCAGACCUCGAUAAUGCUGGUGGUUCGCAGGGGUGACCCUGACUCUGUGUCCCUCCUCGUCCCACCCAG
rnacentral:lncRNA from 1 species